GAUGAACGCUGGCGGCGUGCCUAAUACAUGCAAGUCGAGCGAACGGACGAGACACUUUCUUUUCUGAUGUUAGCGGCGGACGGGUGAGUAAAACGUGGGUAAAACACCUAUAAGACUGGGAUAAAUUAGGGAAACCGGAGCUAAAACCCGCUAAACUUUUCAACAGCAUGGUUCAAAACUGAAAGACCGUCUUGCUGCCACUUAUACAUGGAUCCGGGAUGCAUUAGCUAGUUGGUAAGGUAACGGCUUACCCAGGCAACGAUUCAUAGCCGACCUGAGAGGGUGAUCAGCCACACUGGAACUGAGACACGGUCCAGACUCCUACGGGAGGCAGCAGUAGGGAAUCUUGCACAAUGGGCGAAAGCCUGAUGGAGCAACGCCGCGUGUGUGAUGAAGGUCUUCGGAUCGUAAAACACUGUUAGUGGGGAAGAAGAGAGUAGAAAGUAACUGUUCGCAUCUUGACGUUACCUAAACAGAAAGCCACGGCUAACUACGUG
rnacentral:rRNA from 1 species